rnacentral:rRNA from 1 species
UGCUACCUGAUUCAGCGGCGGACGGGUGAGUAAUGCCUAGGAAUCUGCCCGAUAGUGGGGGACAACGUUUCGAAAGGAACGCUAAUACCGCAUACGUCCUACGGGAGAAAGUGGGGGAUCUUCGGACCUCACGCUAUCGGAUGAGCCUAGGUCGGAUUAGCUAGUUGGUGAGGUAAUGGCUCACCAAGGCGACGAUCCGUAACUGGUCUGAGAGGAUGAUCAGUCACACUGGAACUGAGACACGGUCCAGACUCCUACGGGAGGCAGCAGUGGGGAAUAUUGGACAAUGGGCGAAAGCCUGAUCCAGCCAUGCCGCGUGUGUGAAGAAGGUCUUCGGAUUGUAAAGCACUUUAAGUUGGGAGGAAGGGCAGUAAGCUAAUACCUUGCUGUUUUGACGUUACCAACAGAAUAAGCACCGGCUAACUCUGUGCCAGCAGCCGCGGUAAUACAGAGGGUGCAAGCGUUAAUCGGAAUUACUGGGCGUAAAGCGCGCGUAGGUGGUUCAGCAAGUUGGAUGUGAAAUCCCCGGGCUCAACCUGGGAACUGCAUCCAAAACUACUGAGCUAGAGUACGGUAGAGGGUGGUGGAAUUUCCUGUGUA